rnacentral:lncRNA from 1 species
CCCAUUUGCCUGUAGGUGUCCGACUAAGAUGAAGCAUUAUUCAAUUCCAAGGUCUUCAUAGAAUUCUCAGAGCUGGGAGCCACUGAAUUGCCUACCAUUGUCAGUUACCAAUGCCCUUGGGAGACCAUAAUGGCCAAUAAUAGAUUUUCAGAUAAAGUCUUUAACUCUAGCCUCUGUUAUACAUGUUAGGGGCUCAGCC